UAUAAACUGUUCAUUUUUAUUCCAUUUAGCUCUGAAUUAUGAUGUGAAAGUAAUGAAUAUUAGUUGAUGUCCAUUCUCCAGUGGUUAUUCUGUUGUACUAAUUAGUAUUCUUUUCUUUUUAUCUUGUUAGCUGAAGUAUUUUAUGAGCAUUUGGUUUUAUGAUAUACUAUUAGUGUCCAUUUUUGUUUAAUGGACUCAAGUUAUAAUUUUAUCUUGCAGGAUUAGUAUCAACAACCUUUUGCAGAAGAAUCAAUUCUUAAAGAUCUUCAUGGAAAUGAAUAGAAGUUUCUCGAUAAAAUUUGUGGUGACGGAAUCUAUAGAUUUUUUUGAGUUAACAAACAAAGAACCAUGACUCUAAUCAACAAAGUUGGCUGUAAAACCAGAAAUGUUGUUUGGGAAACAUGGAAAAGAGUGGCUAGGUAGCUUUGAAUCUGGAUCUAGCAAGAGUUGUAUGGCUUGUAAAAAUACAAAUUAGCUUUUCAGAAUAUGGACGCAUUAAGAUUGAAGAGAGCUCGGACAAGGUUAAUUGGUCCAAAACGUUUACUCUUUUCGCUUAUCUUAAAACUAUUUGUUAGUGUUUUUGGCAAAACUGGUUACUCUACUCAUUCUGGUAAUAUUCAGGAAGUCAAGUUAUUUUC